GAUGAACGCUGGCGGCGUGCCUAAUACAUGCAAGUCGAGCGAACAGAUAAGGAGCUUGCUCCUUUGAAGUUAGCGGCGGACGGGUGAGUAACACGUGGGUCACCUCCCUAUAAGACUGGGAUCACUUCGGGAAACCGGAGCUAAUACCGGAUAACAUUUAGAACCGCAUGGUUCUAAAGUGAAUGAUGGUUUUGCUAUCACUUCUCGAUGGACCCGCGCCGUAUUAGCUAGUUGGUAAGUUAACGGCUUACCAAGGCGACGAUACGUAGCCGACCUGGGAGGGUGAUCGGCCACACUGGAAAGGGAACAGGGUCAAGACGCCUAAGGGAGGCAGCAGUAGGGAAUCGUCCGCAAUGGGCGAAAGCCUGACGGAGCAAGGCCGCGUGAGUGAUGAAGGGGUUCGGCUCGUAAAACUCGGUUAUUAGGGAAGAACAAAUGUGUAAGGAAAUGUGCACAGCGUGACGGUACCGAAUCAGAAAGCCACGGCUAACUACGUG
rnacentral:rRNA from 1 species